GACUCAGUGAUUCAAUGGUAAAGCGUUUGCCACGAAGCCAGAAGGUUGUGGGUUUGAUCCCCGAUGGAGUCG
rnacentral:tRNA from 1 species